UGGCAAAGGGAGAGGGACUUAAGUGAGAGUGAAAACACAAGUAACCUACUGUAUGGCAGGUGGAGGGGCAGUGAUGUUACAGGUGGAGGAGCAAGACUGCAAACUCACAAGACAGAGAAAUCAAAGUUUGUUCUCCAGAGAAGAGCACAAUAACCAGAGGGGGAUUCAAUGGAGCCUGAAUACCUGCACUGAGACCCUCACCCUGCACCCUGAGUCUCAACUCUCAGUGUUUUUCAAGCCUUUCCCUGUUUUUUUGUAUUAAACAAAACAUUAAGCUUU